rnacentral:rRNA from 1 species
GACGAACGCUGGCGGCGUGCUUAACACAUGCAAGUCGAACGGAAAGGCCCUGCUUUUGUGGGGUGCUCGAGUGGCGAACGGGUGAGUAACACGUGAGUAACCUGCCCUUGACUUUGGGAUAACUUCAGGAAACUGGGGCUAAUACCGGAUAGGAGCUCCUGCUGCAUGGUGGGGGUUGGAAAGUUUCGGCGGUUGGGGAUGGACUCGCGGCUUAUCAGCUUGUUGGUGGGGUAGUUGCUUACCAAGGCUUUGACGGGUAGCCGGCCUGAGAGGGUGACCGGACAAAUUGGGACUGAGAUACGGCCCAGACUCCUACGGGAGGAAGCAGUGGGGAAUAUUGCACAAUGGGCGGAAGCCUGAUGCAGCAACGCCGCGUGCGGGAUGACGGCCUUCGGGUUGUAAACCGCUUUCGCCUGUGACGAAGCGUGAGUGACGGUAAUGGGUAAAGAAGCACCGGCUAACUACGUG